rnacentral:rRNA from 1 species
ACACGAGCGGCGAACGGGUGAGUAACACGUGGGUAACCUGCCCUGUACUCUGGGAUAAGCCUGGGAAACUAGGUCUAAUACCGGAUACGACCACUUCGGGCAUCCGUGGUGGUGGAAAGUUCCGGCGGUAUGGGAUGGACCCGCGGCCUAUCAGCUUGUUGGUGGGGUGAUGGCCUACCAAGGCGACGACGGGUAGCCGGCCUGAGAGGGUGACCGGCCACACUGGGACUGAGACACGGCCCAGACUCCUACGGGAGGCAGCAGUGGGGAAUAUUGCACAAUGGGCGAAAGCCUGAUGCAGCGACGCCGCGUGAGGGAUGACGGCCUUCGGGUUGUAAACCUCUUUCAGCAGGGACGAAGCGUGAGUGACGGUACCUGCAGAAGAAGCACCGGCUAACUACGUGCCAGCAGCCGCGGUAAUACGUAGGGUGCGAGCGUUGUCCGGAAUUAUUGGGCGUAAAGAGCUCGUAGGCGGUUUGUUGCGUCGGCCGUGAAAACUUCACGCUUAACGUGGAGCCUGCGGUCGAUACGGGCAGACUUGAGUUCGGCAGGGGAGACUGGAAUUCCUGGUGUAGCGGUGAAAUGCGCAGAUAUCAGGAGGAACACCGGUGGCGAAGGCGGGUCUCUGGGCCGAUACUGACGCUGAGGAGCGAAAGCGUGGGGAGCGAACAGGAUUAGAUACCCUGGUAGUCCACGCCGUAAACGGUGGGUGCUAGGUGUGGGGGACUUCCACGUUCUCCGUGCCGCAGCU